rnacentral:rRNA from 1 species
CCUAGUACGAGAGGACCGGAGUGGACGAACCUCUGGUGUACCGGUUGUAACGCCAGUUGCAUAGCCGGGUAGCUAAGUUCGGAAGAGAUAAGCGCUGAAAGCAUCUAAGCGCGAAACUCGCCUGAAGAUGAGACUUCCCUUGCGGUUUAACCGCACUAAAGAGUCGUUCGAGACCAGGACGUUGAUAGGUGGGGUGUGGAAGCGCGGUAACGCGUGAAGCUAACCCAUACUAAUUGCUCGUGAGGCUUGACUCUAU